CAGUCAUGUUUUCUCUGAGUCAUAUUUUCUCUCUGAGUCAUGUUUUCUCUGAGUCAUGCUGAGUCAUGUUUUCUCUGAGUCAUGCUGAGUCAGGUUUUCUCUGAGUCAUGCUGAGACAUGUUUUCUCACAG